ACUCNCUGNUUCNUAGGUGAGUGAGAGGCAGACCAGGGGAACUGAAACAUCUAAGUACCCUGAGGAAGAGAAAACAAUAGUGAUUCCGUCAGUAGCGGCGAGCGAACGCGGAUUAGCCCAAACCAAGGAGCUUGCUCCUUGGGGUUGUGGGACGUCUCACAUGGAGUUACAAAGGAACCGGUUAGAUGAAGAGGUCUGGAAAGGCCCGCCAGAGAAGGUAAAAGCCCUGUAGUUCAAAACUUGUUCCCUCCGAGACGGAUCCCGAGUAGUGCGGGGCACGUGAAACCCCGUAUGAAUCCGGCAGGACCAUCUGCCAAGGCUAAAUACUCCCUGGCGACCGAUAGUGAAGCANUACCGUGAGGGAAAGGCG
rnacentral:rRNA from 1 species